rnacentral:rRNA from 1 species
GACGAACGCUGGCGGCGUGCCUAAUACAUGCAAGUAGAACGCAGUUGCGAACGGGUGAGUAACGCGUAGGUAACUGCCGCAUAGCGGGGGAUAACUAUUGGAAACCAUAGCUAAUACCGCAUACUGUGAGAUGGAUCUGCGUUGGAUUAGCUAGUUGGUGAGGUAAAGGCUCACCAAGGCGACGGUACAUAGCCGACCUGAGAGGGUGGUUGGCCAACAUUGGACUGGGACACGGCCCAGACUCCUACGGGAGGCAGCCAGUGGGAAUCUUCGGCAAUGGGCGGAAGUCUGACCGAGCAAAGCCGGGGGGUGUGAGGAAGUUUUCGGAUCGUAAAACUAUGUUGUUAGAGGAGCGGUACCUAACCAGAAAGGGACGGCUAACUACGUGCCAGCAGCCGCGGUAAUUC